GUGGGGAAUCUUAGACAAUGGGGGAAACCCUGAUCUAGCCAUGCCGCGUGAGUGAUGAAGGCCUUAGGGUCGUAAAGCUCUUUCGCUGGGGAAGAUAAUGACUGUACCCAGUAAAGAAACCCCGGCUAACUCCGUGCCAGCAGCCGCGGUAAUACGGAGGGGGUUAGCGUUGUUCGGAAUUACUGGGCGUAAAGCGCGCGUAGGCGGAUUGGAAAGUUGGGGGUGAAAUCCCGGGGCUCAACCCUGGAAUGGCCUUCAAAACUCCCAGUCUUGAGGUCGAGAGAGGUGAGUGGAAUUCCGAGUGUAGAGGUGAAAUUCGUAGAUAUUCGGAGGAACACCAGUGGCGAAGGCGGCUCACUGGCUCGAUACUGACGCUGAGGUGCGAAAGCGUGGGGAGCAAACAGGAUUAGAAACCCUAGUAGUCC
rnacentral:rRNA from 1 species